CUCUCAAAUCGAGUUUAAUCUAUUAGAUUGGACUGUUGCACUUUUGGUCCUUGUUUGGUAGUUUUGUUGCAAGUUUGGUUCUUGCCUCUAAAAGCCUUAGAAGGAUUCCGUUAACUCAAUGCAUAUAUUACGGCAAAAUGAAGACUCGAUAUGGUGCGGACUUGUUAGGGGUUGGUCCCAAGAGUUUUUGCGGGCUUGGGAGGCCUUAAAGAAAACUUGGAAACAUCUUUAUUUGGGCUAGUUGGGAGAUGGAAGAAAGAAAGAGUUUAAGCUUAAUCUAGAAAAUAUGGACUAGUUUUUGUGGAUAUUUGGACCAAAAUUGGCAUCUUAAAAGAGUUGUAAAAACAAAGAGAAAGAGUCAAGGAAGAUCAUGUUAUAAAUGACCUUUCCGUGCAAGUCAAAAUUGUCCGACCACUUUUAUGUGGCACGCAUAAAAUUUAUAAUAUGGCUUAAGCAGCCCAUGUAAGCUAUUUAGGGAAAUUUCUUUCUUUUCACUUUUAAAGCUUCUAUAUGGGGUAUGGUUGGUGUCAUCUUAAAGGGAUCUCGUUUGGAACUUGGAGGAAGCUGGAAGAACAAUCUUGAAGACAUCUUUAGGGUUUUUGAACCCAUAUUUCUUCACAUUUUGCGUUAAAAUGGUUGAUACAAUUAAUCCAUUCUUUUCUUUCUUAGUAAUGUUUGGCUAAGUUCUCAUCUAGUUGAUAUUGGAAGUAAUCGAUGGAUAUUUAAUUUGUGUUUAAGAUUUUAUGAAGUUGUGGUAAUUUUCUAUAAAUGUAACUUUUACUUGAAGUUCUUAUCUGGUUGAUAUUUGUGGUGGUGGCGAUGGCGAUGGUGGUAAUGGUGGUGGUGGCGAUGGUAGUGGCGGCUUAGGUGGUGACGUUGGUUGUGAGUGGUAGUAGCAAUGGGUAGGAAUAGUGAUGGAUGUGGUGGCGGUGGCGAUAGGUGGCAGCGAUGAUUAUGGGUGGUGACGGUGGUGGUGGUGGCGGCGAUAGAGGUGGAAGUGGUGGUGGGGGUGGGGUGGCGAUAAUGGUAGGUGUUCCCAUGAAAAUUUUAUGUUUAAGUGUGCUUAGGUAGGAGCAAUUCCUAUGAUUGUGACCUCCUUGGAAGUUGUCAUGUUUUUUUCAAAGCGAACAAUAUAUCGAUACAUGGAUGUUAUAGUAUACUUUCAAGAUUA